GCUGGGUGUGGUGGCUCACACCUGUAAUCCUAGCACUUUGGGAGGCCGAGGUGGGAGGAUCACUUGAGGUCAGGAGUUCGAGACCAGCCUGGCCAACAUGGUGAAAUCCCGUCUCUA
rfam:Pan troglodytes isolate Yerkes chimp pedigree #C0471 (Clint) chromosome 14, whole genome shotgun sequence.